rnacentral:rRNA from 1 species
AGAACGAACGCUGGCGGCAUGCCUAAUACAUGCAAGUCGAACGAACUCUUCGGAGUUAGUGGCGCACGGGUGCGUAACGCGUGGGAAUCUGCCCUUGGGUUCGGAAUAACAGUUGGAAACGACUGCUAAUACCGGAUGAUGACGAAAGUCCAAAGAUUUAUCGCCCAGGGAUGAGCCCGCGUAGGAUUAGCUAGUUGGUGAGGUAAAGGCUCACCAAGGCGACGAUCCUUAGCUGGUCUGAGAGGAUGAUCAGCCACACUGGGACUGAGACACGGCCCAGACUCCUACGGGAGGCAGCAGUAGGGAAUAUGGACAAUGGGCGCAAGCCUGAUCCAGCAAUGCCGCGUGAGUGAUGAAGCCUUAGGUGUAAAGCUCUUUACCCGAGAUGAUAACUAGACAGUAGUACGGUAAGAAAUAAGACCCCGGACUAACCGUCCCGUACGCCAAGCGAGCCGAC